GACGAACGCUGGCGGCGUGCCUAAUACAUGCAAGUAGAACGCUGAGAAUUGGUGCUUGCACCGGUUCAAGGAGUUGCGAACGGGUGAGUAACGCGUAGGUAACCUACCCUCAUAGCGGGGGAUAACUAUUGGAAACGAUAGCUAAUACCGCAUAAGAGAGACUAACGCAUGUUAGUAAUUUAAAAGGGGCAAUUGCUCCACUAUGAGAUGGACCUGCGUUGUAUUAGCUAGUUGGUGAGGUAAAGGCUCACCAAGGCGACGAUACAUAGCCGACCUGAGAGGGUGAUCGGCCACACUGGGACUGAGACACGGCCCAGACUCCUACGGGAGGCAGCAGUAGGGAAUCUUCGGCAAUGGGGGCAACCCUGACCGAGCAACGCCGCGUGAGUGAAGAAGGUUUUCGGAUCGUAAAGCUCUGUUGUUAGAGAAGAAUGAUGGUGGGAGUGGAAAAUCCACCAAGUGACGGUAACUAACCAGAAAGGGACGGCUAACUACGUGCCAGCAGCCGCGGUAAUACGUAGGUCCCGAGCGUUGUCCGGAUUUAUUGGGCGUAAAGCGAGCGCAGGCGGUUUUUUAAGUCUGAAGUUAAAGGCAUUGGCUCAACCAAUGUACGCUUUGGAAACUGGAGAACUUGAGUGCAGAAGGGGAGAGUGGAAUUCCAUGUGUAGCGGUGAAAUGCGUAGAUAUAUGGAGGAACACCGGUGGCGAAAGCGGCUCUCUGGUCUGUAACUGACGCUGAGGCUCGAAAGCGUGGGGAGCAAACAGG
rnacentral:rRNA from 1 species